rnacentral:rRNA from 1 species
AUACGGAGGGUGCAAGCGUUGUUCGGAAUUACUGGGCGUAAAGCGCGCGUAGGUGGUCUGUUAUGUCAGAUGUGAAAGUCCACGGCUCAACCGUGGAAGUGCAUUUGAAACUGGCAGACUUGAGUACUGGAGGGGGUAGUGGAAUUCCCGGCGUAGAGGUGAAAUUCGUAGAUAUCGGGAGGAAUACCGGUGGCGAAGGCGACUACCUGGCCAGAUACUGACACUGAGGUGCGAAAGCGUGGGGAGCGAACAGGAUUAGAAACCCCGGUAGUCC